rnacentral:rRNA from 1 species
UAAAUGGAGAGUUUGAUCCUGGCUCAGAGUUAACGCUGGCAGCGUGCAUAACACAUGCAAGUCGAACGGGACUAUCUGCGAUUACAUCAAGGGUAGUCUAGUGGCAGACGAGUGAGUAACACGUAAGAAACCUGCCCCUGUGCGGGGGAUAGCAUACCGAAAGGUGUGAUAAUACCCCAUACGAUCCUCUGACGGCAUCGUCGGAGGCUGAAAGGCCCGCAAGGGCCGCUCAGGGAGGGUCUUGCGGCCUAUCAGCUUGUUGGCGGGGUAACGGCCCACCAAGGCUAUGACGGGUACCCGGCCUGAAAGGGCGAGCGGGCACGGAGGCACUGAGACACGGGCCUCACUCCUACGGGAGGCAGCAGUGGGGAAUUUUGGACAAUGGGGGAAACCCUGAUCCAGCAACGCUGCGUGAGGGAUGAAGGUCUUCGGAUUGUAAACCUCUUUUUUGGGGGACGAAAGCCCGCAAGGGUUUGACGGUACUCCAAGAAUAAGCCACGGCUAAAUAUGUGCCAGCAGCCGCGGUAAGACAUAUGUGGCAAGCGUUACUCGGAAUCACUAGGCGUAAAGCGCAUGUAGGCGGGUGCCUAAGUCUGCUGUGAAAUCUCCCGGCUCAACCGGGAGGGGUCAGUGGAUACUGGGCGUCUCGAGUAGGGUAGGGGGUGCCGGAAUUCCCGAUGUAGCGGUGAAAUGCGUAGAUAUCGGGAGGAACACCGAUGGCGAAAGCAGGCACCUGGGCCCUCACUGACGCUGAGAUGCGAAAGCUAGGGGAGCAAACAGGAUUAGAUACCCUGGUAGUCCUAGCCGUAAACGAUGAUAACUAGGUGUGGGAGGUAUCGACCCCUUCCGCGCCGACGCUAACGCAUUAAGUUAUCCGCCUGGGGAGUACGGCCGCAGGGUUAAAACUCAAAGGAAUUGACGGGGGCC